AGUGAACGCUGGCGGUAGGCCUAACACAUGCAAGUCGAACGGCAGCACAGUAAGAGCUUGCUCUUACGGGUGGCGAGUGGCGGACGGGUGAGGAAUACAUCGGAAUCUACUUUUUCGUGGGGGAUAACGUAGGGAAACUUACGCUAAUACCGCAUACGACCUACGGGUGAAAGCAGGGGAUCUUCGGACCUUGCGCGAUUGAAUGAGCCGAUGUCGGAUUAGCUAGUUGGCGGGGUAAAGGCCCACCAAGGCGACGAUCCGUAGCUGGUCUGAGAGGAUGAUCAGCCACACUGGAACUGAGACACGGUCCAGACUCCUACGGGAGGCAGCAGUGGGGAAUAUUGGACAAUGGGCGCAAGCCUGAUCCAGCCAUACCGCGUGGGUGAAGAAGGCCUUCGGGUUGUAAAGCCCUUUUGUUGGGAAAGAAAAGCAGCAGGUUAAUACCCCGCUGUUCUGACGGUACCCAAAUAAUAAGCACCGGCUAACUUAGUG
rnacentral:rRNA from 1 species